rnacentral:rRNA from 1 species
CCUACGGGAGGCAGCAGUGAGGAAUAUUGGUCAAUGGGCGAGAGCCUGAACCAGCCAAGUCGCGUGAGGGAGUACUGCCCUAUGGGUUGUAAACCUCUUUUGUCGGGGAGCAAAAGCCGGCCGUGUCCGGCUGUGAGAGUACCCGCAGAAAAAGCAUCGGCUAACUCCGUGCCAGCAGCCGCGGUAAUACGUAGGUGGCAAGCGUUGUCCGGAUUUACUGGGUGUAAAGGGCGUGCAGCCGGAGAGACAAGUCAGAUGUGAAAUCCGCAGGCUCAACCUGCGAACUGCAUUUGAAACUGUUGCCCUUGAGUAUCGGAGAGGUCAUCGGAAUUCCUAGUGUAGCGGUGAAAUGCGUAGAUAUUAGGAAGAACACCAGUGGCGAAGGCGGAUGACUGGACGGCAACUGACGGUGAGGCGCGAAAGCGUGGGGAGCAAACAGGAUUAGAUACCCCGGUAGUC